rnacentral:rRNA from 1 species
CGGACGGGUGAGUAAUGCUUGGGAAUCUGGCUUAUGGAGGGGGAUAACUACGGGAAACUGUAGCUAAUACCGCGUAGUAUCGGAAGAUGAAAGUGCGGGACCGUAAGGCCGCAUGCCACGGGAUGAGCCCAAGUGGGAUUAGGUAGUUGGUGGGGUAAAGGCCUACCAAGCCUGCGAUCUCUAGCUGGUCUGAGAGGAUGGCCAGCCACACUGGAACUGAGACACGGUCCAG